UUGACCUCGAAUCAGGUAGGGAUACCCGCUGAACUUAAGCAUAUCAAUAAGCGGAGNNNNNNNNNNNNNNNNNNNNNNNNNNNGUAACGGCGAGUGAAGCGGUAACAGCUCAAAUUUGAAAUCUGGCUCCUUCGGAGUCCGAGUUGUAAUUUGUAGAAGAUGCUUUGGGUUGCAGGUUCGGUCUAAGUUCCUUGGAACAGGACGUCGUAGAGGGUGAGAAUCCCGUAUGCGGCCGUGACUUGUGCCCGUGUAAAGCUCUUUCGACGAGUCGAGUUGUUUGGGAAUGCAGCUCAAAAUGGGUGGUAAAUUUCAUCUAAAGCUAAAUAUAGGCCAGAGACCGAUAGCGCACAAGUAGAGUGAUCGAAAGAUGAAAAGCACUUUGGAAAGAGAGUUAAACAGUACGUGAAAUUGUUGAAAGGGAAGCGCUUGCAACCAGACUUGGGCGUCGUGGAUCAUCCAAGGUUCUCCUUGGUGCACUCGACGACGCACAGGCCAGCAUCGGUUCGGAUGGCUGGAAAAAGGUCCUAGAAAUGUAGCUCCUCGCGGGGAGUGUUAUAGUCUAGGGCGCAAUGCAGCCCAACCGGACCGAGGACCGCGCUUCGGCUAGGAUGCUGGCGUAAUGGUUGUAAGCGACCCGUCUUGAAACACGGACCAAGGAGUCUAAYAUCUAUGCGAGUGUUUGGGCGUUAAACCCAUACGCGGAAUGAAAGUGAACGUAGGUGAGAACCCGUAAGGGGGCAUCAUCGACCGAUCCUGAAGUCUUCGGACGGA
rnacentral:rRNA from 1 species